UACGUAGGGUGCGAGCGUUGUCCGGAAUUAUUGGGCGUAAAGAGCUUGUAGGCGGUUUGUCGCGUCUGCCGUGAAAAUCCGGGGCUCAACCCCGGACUUGCGGUGGGUACGGGCAGACUAGAGUGUGGUAGGGGAGGCUGGAAUUCCUGGUGUAGCGGUGAAAUGCGCAGAUAUCAGGAGGAACACCGAUGGCGAAGGCAGGUCUCUGGGCCACUACUGACGCUGAGAAGCGAAAGCGUGGGGAGCGAACAGG
rnacentral:rRNA from 1 species